AAGAAAGUUGAUAUGGAGAUUUCUAAGUUGAAUAAGCAAAUUUACGAAGCUAAUUUUCCACUGUGGGAUGUUCGUCUCGAUGGUUUCUUGGAGGAUCAGUUGCGGGUUUUGAUCGCUCAGUUAGACAAGAAAAUAGAAGUUGCAGAUAGAAAACUUGACAGGUUUCAGGAAAAUCAGAUUCUGAUGGAUGAAUUUGCAAUGAGAAUGCUUUACGGUUCUCAAAUCAUGGAGAAUUACAUGAACAGAAGCAACAGUGUCAGGAAUUUUAGCAACUUUCAUCAGCUUUUCUCUGAUGUCAUGCCAUUGCCAGUUAACUGUUUCCUGCCAGGACAGAGCUCGUAUUUGAUUCCAUCAAAUUCAAACAAUUCAAACUUGCAGAUUUUCUCUGAUUACCAAACAACGAGUCUGAGUAGAAAAUUAAUGGACAGAAACAGUAACAGCAGCAACUUAGCUAACUUGCAGCUGCAACUGUUCUCUGAUCCGAAGCCAUUGGGUGUUCAACUACAAAUGCAUUCCCAGCAAAUCCAGACUUCUCCAGGGACUUCAACAAGUCCAAGUUUUCUGGAAGAUCUGACGAUGAUGGCCAAGGAUCAGUACACUGGCAAUCAAUGUGGUGUCAGGACAAUUAGUAAUGUUCCAAGCUUUCCAAGCCUGUCUUAUCUUAACCCUUCCCCUUUGAUGUGGGACAAUGUGAUGUUCAACAAUGCUGACGCUUCUUUUGGCAAUGUUGGAUCCGCUUUGCAGACAAUCCUUUCGAGAAUGCAACUUCCCAUGUCCAGUAUGAGUAGUUAUCAGAAGAUGGCUUACUUUAUGUAGAAGCCGAUCCAUCAGGAGGAGACACUUGGAAGUUAGAUCCAGUCGUUCAACUUUUGAAGGAGCGAGCUGUGGGUGUCAUUCCUACAGAUACUCUAAACAUUAAUUUGGUCAACUAUUAAGAAGUUAAGACAGACAGAACAGUGAAGAACAGGAAGAAGCCAUAAAUGUCAGAGGUUGAUGGUUGCUCCAAGUAUUCUUGGUUUACAAGGGUUGGGUAAGGUAGAGGUAGUUGGCAGAUCCUAGGUGGCUAGGCCUGAGAUUUUUUCCAGUAAAAGGUAUAUAAAAGUUUGAAGUGCUGGAACUCUUAGAAUGAUAAUUUUCUUCUUCCUUUACCUACAUCCUUUUUACAGCCAGACUGAGGUUAAAGUUUAAUCCAACUCUUCCUCCUGGCUUAUGUUGUGGUGGCCAAAUAUUGGCAUUUAGGUGUACUAAAGUACAGCAUGCUAGACUAAUUGUGUUGAAAGAUCCCCCAUCUAUAUUGUGCUUGAUUUUUAUUCUUUUGUGAUAGGUAUGUGUUAGGAAUCCAGCUACAACUCCAGGGGCAUAUUGGGUAUACACUAGAAGAGGUAAAGCUGCCAAGAGAAUCACCCUUGGGAAUCAAGAAAAAGGAAAAGACACAUCACCACCAAGUUAGUUAGGAAAUGUCAGUAUAAAUAGUAUGUAUGAGGAGAGAGGAGGGCAUCUUUUUGAAUCCAUUUGUAUCAGCAGAAAUUCCUCUGCUCGGGCUUGUCCUAGGGGCUGGCUUACAGUCAUUAUCUUUUAUCUUUUGUUCAUUAUCUGCUUCCCCUACCUGCUGUAAACCCAUUUUUGAUUAGUACAAUCACAGAUAUUCCUCUCCAUAUUCUCUUCUCCUUUAUUUUCUGUUUAAUUGUUGGUUAACGUUUUCGAGUCUCCAUUGUUGGUCGAAUAAUAUCUCUAUUGUCUGUGAAUUUCUUCAUAUAAUUGACUACCCAAUUAUGAUUAUAAAUAAAUUGGGUAAUUACCUUGGCUUGGUCAAUUAUUUUUUUCACACUCUUCUUCUUUUCAAUAUCUUCCAAAAUCAAAUCAAUGCAAUGAGCACUACAAGCAGUCCAAUAUAAAUUAGGGAAUUUCUCCAUCAGUUUCUUCCCUCCUAAUUUAAUGGCAGCUUCGUUGUCCGUUACCACUUGGACAACUUUUUGAGAGCCUAUUUCUUUCACUACUUCUUUCAUAAUUUUAAAAUAGUAUUCUAUAUCUUUAUGUUCCACAUUGGAUGCAUCAAUUGACUUGUGGAACACUGUUCCUCUGUUUGAGUAGACAAGAAAAUUUACUAUACUCAUACGUGUUAGCCCACUCCAACCAUCACACACAUUAUAGUAACUCCCCUCUCCUUCCAUAUUCCAUCAAAUGAGCCUAUAUAAACUUCUGCAAUUUCAUAAGCACUAGGUGGAGAUACAUUAGGCCCGAUUUCUGCUGUUGUUCUUAAAAGUGGCUUUGUCCACGGUGACUCAACAAUACUGAAGAGAAGCCUAUUAUGUAUAACAAAAUUUCCAAAUGCUUUCAACAUUUUCUCCUUCUGUGUCUUCAACCAUUUAGUUUUUAACUUUGGCUAUUUUUGUUGAGCUCUGCUUCUCUCUAUCUCAACUUCUGUGGCAGCCAACUGAGAUGCCAGUGUAGAUACUUCUGCAUAUCUUUGUGCUUCUCUACCUCUCACGUGUAGUAGCAGAACGACCCAACACUUGUCUGCUGCUACCACCAACAUCAAAUCUAGAUCCAGUUCUCCUUCUAAAUUCAUCUUCUUCCAACUGUCUCAUGCUCGUCCGUCUCGCCAUUUCCAUUUCGAUGUCCUCCUCCUCCUCAUCAUCUUCGAUUCUAUUCAUAUUCAUAAUUUCUUCUUCUAAUUCUCUUUCUCUUUUUUAUUUAUUUUUUUUAGCUAGUUGGUAUUCUUUCAGGACAGCGGCCAUAUCCUUCUUAACUUGGGAAGAAACUUUUUGACAACCUGCAAUUUGACCAGGUGUUGCAAACUUCCACCCAAUAUCAUCACUUGGUUUACCACCCCCUUGAGUAGAACCAGAACCACUUCCACGAGGCAUUUUCAAUACAAAUAUUUAAUAACUGUUUAUAAAAAUUAAAAGAUAUCAAAUGUCAAAUACAUGGAAGACAAAUAUUUUUUUUCAUAACUAAUAUUUUAAUUUUAAUCUAACUCCAUACAUUAAUUUCUAUUUAACACAAAUUAUAUAAAUAUGAAAUUUUAAUUAUCAAACUACAAGUCUUAGUCUACCACUAUUAAUUUAACUCAAAACUAACACUUUAAUCCACAAAAAUUAAACAAAAAAAAAAAUACAGCAACUAAAAAUAAUUUAAUUUCAUAAUGAUUUCUGAAAAAUAGUCUAAACUAAACUAACAAAAACCAUACAAUUUAUAGAUCGGACAAAUUAAUAGCCUCAAAGUAUAUUUUUAACUCAAAACUACAAAUUUAAUCUACAAAAAAAAAAAAAAAAAAAUACAGCAGCUCUGAAUUCUGAAAGUAAAAAUACACUAUUAAUUUAACUCAAAUCUAACACUUUAAUCCACAAAAAUGAAACAAAAAAAAUAAAAAUACAGCAACUAAAAUUAAUUUAAUUUCAUAAUAAUUUCUUAAAAAUAGUCUAAACUAACAAAAACCAUACAAUCUUUAUAGAUGGGACAAAUUAAUAGCUCAAAGUAUAUUUUUAACUCAAAACUACAAAUUUAAUCUAUAAAAAUUUAAAAAAAAAAAAAAAUACAGCAACUUUGAAAGUAAAAAUACACAGAAAUAUUAACUCACCUUUUAGAAGAAAUUGUCUUGAAAUGAAGUAGGUAAUGGUAGAUUUAAGCUUGUAAUUGUGAAUGAGAAAUGUUUAGGGAAGCUUGAGAUUGAGAUAUUUGAGAGAAAAGGAAGAGAAAGUUGGAAAUUUUAGUUGGAAAAUGAGGCUUUCUGCUGUGCUGCUUGGUGGUUGCUGGAGAAGAGGGACAAAAGUGGUCAAAUUCAAUGCAUAGGUGGUUCUGAAUAUAUUCUCUGCAAUCUGAAUUUUUUGUUGGGAUAAAGUAACGGCCGUUACCGUUACAUCACUGUCGGUAACGGCCGUUACCGUUACGUAACGGCCGUAACGGCCGUUACGGACACAUUUCAAGGGGGGCCGUUGGGUAACGGCCUCACGGGUAACGGCCCCCCUUGAUACCGUUACAUAACGGCCAUUAUGUUACGUAACGGCCGUUAUUUAAUACCCUGGUGGGAAAGUAAGUUCUGAAAGUGGGAGCUUGCAGCGUGGUUGUGAAGGUUUUGGUGAUGGAGAGAUUAGGAGAGGAAGCAGUGGACGCCAUUGUCAAGCUGAAAAUCAGAAGCUUGAAGUUCUGAAUCUUGACGCAGAGACAUGGUGAGUGAUCGUGCUAUAUAUGUAAAGGAAUGAUCAAGAGUGGUCCAAGUGGUAUGGUGAUGAUGUAAGGUGGGUCCCAUCAGCAUGCAUAUGGAUCAUGGUCCUUUAAUUUCCCAACAUGUUUCAUUGUCUCUGGGGUAGUUUGCUACUUUACUUAAGGAAGCAAAAGUGUCAUCUAAUUUGUAAUUGUCCACACAUUUAUAAUCGAAAAUGCCAUAUUUACAAAUUGGGUUAUGUAAUUCUGUGUGGUGCAUUGUUGAUUUUCUGCCAAGUGACAGUGAAGAGAUGGCAUGUGAUGAGGCUGAGCUUGGACCAGAAGAGUUUACUGAAAAAAUGCUCAAUCAACAAAAUGACACGAACAGCAACUGGAGAUGCUGAAGUACAUGCGCAAAUUUCACCUGGAAGACCAAUCUGCAAUCCUUGAAAAGUUGCACCAGCAGAUGCAAGAUGCCGAUUUUAUUGGUACGGCAUCAGUUUUAUCAUCAGAACAAAUUCAGGAUGUGGUUCGAAGGAGGGUGUCACCUUUAUUUAUACCAAGGUAGAUCAGAAUUCAUUCAUCAGUUGGCCUAGUUCCAGUUUAGCAGAGUUCUUUCAGUUUUUUACUUUAUGCUAGCCGUUUUUUGUUGUAGCAAAUGCUUCUAUACACAAUAGAACUUCUUUUCUCUGUGUUUAUCUAAUUUUACCCUCUGGCAUUCUCUACAUCAAGCAAAAGCCAUGUGCAUUCAAUUAUCA